GUUUGGUUCAGUGUAUUAGGUAAUCCAUUACUGACCGAUUACGCGGCUAUUACAUUACGCCCCUAAUCCGGCGUUUGGUUCGCUGUAAUAGGUAUUACGUGCGUAAUACAAUCCCGACCUAAUCCCCAAAUUCCCUGCUUUUCUAAUCCCUUCCCAAAUCGAGUAAUAGGCAUUACGUCCGGCUUCCCUCCCCAACUCUCUGUUUUACCCUCCCUCCCUACC
rnacentral:lncRNA from 1 species